rnacentral:rRNA from 1 species
UACGUAGGGGGCAAGCGUUGUCCGGAUUUACUGGGCGUAAAGAGCGUGUAGGCGGCCAGGUAGGUCCGCUGUGAAAGUCCGAGGCUCAACCUCGGAAUGUCGGCGGAAACCCUCUGGCUAGAGUCCGGAAGAGGAGAGUGGAAUUCCUGGUGUAGCGGUGAAAUGCGCAGAUAUCAGGAAGAAUACCCGUGGCUAAGGCGGCUCUCUAGUACGGUACUGACGCUGAGACGCGAAAGCGUGGGGAGCGAACAGG